GAAAAACACUUAUGGACUUGAGGUUCAGUGGGUGAGGGGUCCCUUUGAUGCACAAGUUAUGUAUAACAACACAGGAAGAAAGCCUCAUGGGAAGUUUGCCAUUGCUGAUGGAGCUAUUGAUAGCUCUACCAUACAAUUUUUCACCACUGCACAUCCAUCUCAGCCCCAAAGUGCCCAAAGUUCUACACAGAGAGAGGUAUAGCUACAACAAGAGGUUCAAGAGCUAAAAAGACAAAUGUAGGAGGAUCAAGGAACAUUACAUAAAGUGCUUCAAUACAGUCAGCAGAUGUGUCAGUACAUGAUGAGUCAGGGACAGAGAAGCACACCUCCACCACAACUCAAUUUUGCUUCUUUAUUCUCCUCAUUUACUAAUGCUCAGGAUGGAACAUCAAAUUAUUCAAAUGAAUUCCAACAGCAGCCUGAAAGGAACCCUGGUAACACCCAACAUGAUGAUCCAAGCUCUUACAAGCAUAGAAGCAACAAUGAUGACAUGACUGACUGUGAGCGCAAUGAGCUUCGAAUGUGGUUCAGGCCAAAUGUAUAAGUGUCAUGGUGGAAUCAUUCUAUUAUGUUUCCAACAACUGAAGUCUAUCAUCAGCUUAGUUAUGAUCAUCAAAAGAUUGAGUCAGACAUGUUUCUAGGUUACUAUCAUGCAGAGUCCAUGUUUUAGCACCUACUGCUAUUUGUAAAAAGAUAUUUAUCUCUGUUGCUACUUCAACAGCUCCUUGGACAUAUAUGUUUGAAUUGAAAUUUGUGUCCAACCUCCAAUGUUAUCUUUGCACAUCAAUUUGUUCA